GGGCUGGGGCUCAGAGGUAGAGCACUUGCCUAGCACGUGUGAGGCACUGGGUUCGAUCCUCAGCACCACA
rnacentral:tRNA from 1 species